rnacentral:rRNA from 1 species
AUGGCGCAAACCUCACCUAUUCCCCGCGUCAGCCUCGGCACCCAAGGACUGGAGGUGUCCAAGCUGGGGUUCGGGUGCAUGGGCCUCACAGGCUCCUACAACUCCCCGGUCGAGGACGACGCCGGCGUCGCCGUCAUCACGCACGCCUUCAACCGCGGCGUCACCUUCUUCGACACCUCCGACGUCUACGGGCCCCACGCCAACGAGAUCCUCCUCGGCAAGGCGCUGAAGCAGCUGCCGCGGGAGCAGGUGCAGGUGGCCACCAAGUUUGGGAUUCAGCGGGAUGCCCAGGGCAAGAGCACCAUCUGCGGCCGCCCGGAGUACGUGCGCGCCUGCUGCGAGGCCAGCCUGCACCGCCUCGGCGUCCACCACAUCGACCUCUACUACCAGCACCGCAUCGACACCACCAUCCCCAUCGAGGACACGAUUGGUGAGCUCAAGAAGCUUGUGGAGGAGGGGAAGGUCAAGUACAUUGGGUUAUCGGAGGCGAGCCCGGACACCAUCAGGCGUGCUCACGCCGUGCACCCCAUCUCCUCCGUGCAGAUGGAGUGGUCUCUGUGGGCUCGCGACAUCGAGCCCGAGAUCGUGCCUCUCUGCAGAGAGCUAGGGAUUGGAAUUGUUCCCUACAGCCCGAUUGCUCGUGGGUUUUUCGGUGGAAGGGGAGUGACACAACAAGUGUCUGCUGAAUCUAGUCUGAAAGGCCAUCCACGUUUUUCGGCUGAAAACCUGGAGAAGAACAAGCAACUUUAUCUGAAAAUAGAAGAACUGGCCAAGAAGCACCAGUGCAGCCCUGCUCAGCUAGCUUUAUCUUGGGUUCUGCAUCAAGGGGAUGAUGUGGUUCCGAUACCAGGGACUACUAAGAUAAAGAAUCUAGACUCCAACAUUGACUCCUUGAAGGUGAGGCUCACGGAAGAUGACCUCAAAGAGAUCAGCAACGAGAUACGCGAAGAAGAUGUUGCGGGUGGAAGGCAAUAUACUUCAUUUGCGAAAUUCACCUGGAAUUAUGCGGAUACGCCAAAGAAGUGA